CUCAGGAUGAACGCUGGCGGCGUGCCUAAUACAUGCAAGUCGAGCGAACAGACGAGGAGCUUGCUCCUCUGACGUUAGCGGCGGACGGGUGAGUAACACGUGGAUAACCUACCUAUAAGACUGGGAUAACUUCGGGAAACCGGAGCUAAUACCGGAUAAUAUAUUGAACCGCAUGGUUCAAUAGUGAAAGACGGUUUUGCUGUCACUUAUAGAUGGAUCCGCGCCGCAUUAGCUAGUUGGUAAGGUAACGGCUUACCAAGGCAACGAUGCGUAGCCGACCUGAGAGGGUGAUCGGCCACACUGGAACUGAGACACGGUCCAGACUCCUACGGGAGGCAGCAGUAGGGAAUCUUCCGCAAUGGGCGAAAGCCUGACGGAGCAACGCCGCGUGAGUGAUGAAGGUCUUCGGAUCGUAAAACUCUGUUAUUAGGGAAGAACAAAUGUGUAAGUAACUAUGCACGUCUUGACGGUACCUAAUCAGAAAGCCACGGCUAACUACGUGCCAGCAGCCGCGGUAAUACGUAGGUGGCAAGCGUUAUCCGGAAUUAUUGGGCGUAAAGCGCGCGUAGGCGGUUUUUUAAGUCUGAUGUGAAAGCCCACGGCUCAACCGUGGAGGGUCAUUGGAAACUGGAAAACUUGAGUGCAGAAGAGGAAAGUGGAAUUCCAUGUGUAGCGGUGAAAUGCGCAGAGAUAUGGAGGAACACCAGUGGCGAAGGCGACUUUCUGGUCUGUAACUGACGCUG
rnacentral:rRNA from 1 species